CCUACGGGUGGCAGCAGUGGGGAAUAUUGCACAAUGGGGGAAACCCUGAUGCAGCGACGCCGCGUGCGUGAAGAAGUAUUUCGGUAUGUAAACCUCUAUCAGCAGGGAAGAAAUAGCGACCUUUGGGUCGCCAGACGGUACCUGACUAAGAAGCACCGGCUAACUAAGUGCCAGCAGCCGCGGUAAUACGUAGGGGGCAAGCGUUAUCCGGAUUUACUGGGUGUAAAGGGAGCGUAGACGGCAGCACUAGUCGGAAGUGAAAUGCCGGGGCUUAACCCCGGAACUGCUUUGGAAACUGUGGAUCGAGAGUUCAGGAGAGGUAAGUGGAAUUCCUAGUGUAGCGGUGAAAUGCGUAGAGAUUAGGAGGAACACCAGUGGCGAAGGCGGCUUACUGGACUGUAACUGACGUUGAGGCGCGAAAGCGUGGGGAGCAAACAGGAUUAGAUACCCGGGUAGUC
rnacentral:rRNA from 1 species